ensembl:lncRNA
CCGUCCUUAGCACAGGCCUGAGAUGCAGGGGUUCUCACUCCUGCAGUACCCGUGAGGAGAAGAGUGGGGUGGGCUGGCCCGGGGUGAGGUGCCAGGAGACGGGGGCACUUCACACUGUGCUCUUGGGAAGGUCCUUUCACUCCCCACCGGGGUCUCAGUUUUCCAACAGGAAAUGAAGCGGAUGGGAUGACCCCUGAGUUCUGGCUUGGAUGGAAGCUCCUGUGUGGUGAUGAGGGGAAUGGGUGGUUGGCAUCACAGAGCCUGCUCUGUCUGCAUCAGGAGGUGGGACAAGCCUGGGCCAGGAGACCAGACAGGAAGGAGGCUCAACUCUGUCCCAUGCAGGAUGCAUAAUUGGGGGCAAGUCAUUUCGCUGCUAUAAACUAGAGCUAAUAGUCCCUCUCCUGGCUCACCCAUGGGAUUCUUGAGGACAGCAAAUGAAGUAACAAACAUGAAAGUGUUGUUCAAGCUGUAAGAAGAGGAAACGGAAGUUCAGAGUGGCUGUGACUUGUCCAGGGACCUCAGGGCAGAAGUGAGACCUGUUUCCUAGAUACAGUCUUUUCCCUUUAACCCCUGCUGAUGCUACUGUGAUUCAUUUUGCCAUCAAAACAAAUUUAACCACCACCUGACUGACCGUUGGUGUGGAACAUCUCAAAAGAAAAGAAGAAAAAAGAUUUCAAUUCCAAUAACCAGAGAGCAGUUUCUUCUCAGGAAAAGCCAUGAGGGGCAAUCUGGCCUAGGAAGGUCGGUCCUAGGUAGGAAAGGGAGGUCAGCCCAGGACAGGAUUCAGGAGGGAAAAGAAAUCUCUCUAAACCCCUGCUCAGAAAAAUCUGACCAGAUCUCGAAUCCUUGGUUGUCUGAGGAAUGAGGUGGUCUCAGCCAAGGUUCAGCCAAGAGUUCAGUGAGCCCUGCUGUCAAGUUUAGGUCAACGUGGGAUUCCCAUCAGAGGUUUGGAAAUGUUGGAAAUCACUUGGGGACCCCUUGCUUUCUGCAAGGCUUAACUCAGCGUGCAGUGCCCCACGUCAGAGUCCUCAGGCGGCCCCAGCCUGGCAGUAAGAAUGGGAUCAUGGUCACACAAUAUAUGGCAAACCUCCAAUGCCAGCCCCUGCCAGAGUUCAGCCUGGGAGUCAGCCUGCCAGUCAUUCUCCUCCUCUGCUUCCAAAGCCUUUGUGGUCUGCCCAAACCAGAGUCCCAUUGUUGAAACUGAGGGUACCAUCCCCAGCCAUCCUCAAAGAUGAGGGAACCUGAUGGAGCCUGAUGCGGUCCACACCUGCUAUGCAGUUUCUGCUUGCAUGGGCGGAAUGAAGGAUUUAGGAAAAUAGGCUGGUUGUAAGUGACAGAAACCAACUCAAACUAGCUUCAUCAGCAAAGAAAGCUUUCUCCUAAGGAAACCAAGGAGCGCGAAGAAUUUAAGACCUUAGGAAGACCUUUCAAGGACCUGGCUUCUCUCUCGGCUUGUCUUUCUACUUGAGAAUACAUGCUCUCUUGAGUUGGC